rnacentral:rRNA from 1 species
CACCAGCGCCACAAGUGGGGACCGAUUUUAUUGGGCCUAAAGCGUCCGUAGCAGGUUCUGUAAAUUGCUUGUGAAAUCGUAGGGCUUAACUCUACGGAUUGCAGGCAAGACUGCUGAACUUGAGACCAGGAGAAGUUGGAGGUAUUUGAAGGGGAGCGGUAAAAUGCGAGAAUCCUUCGAAGACCACCUGUUGCGAAGGCGUCCAACAAUAAUGGGUCUGACUGUGAGGGACGAAAGCUAGGGGAGCGAACCG